rnacentral:rRNA from 1 species
UACGUAGGUGGCAAGCGUUGUUCGGAAUUAUUGGGCGUAAAGGGCGCGUGAGGCGGUUUGUUAAGUCAGCUGUGAAAGCCCGGGGCUCAACCCCGGAGGGUCAGCUGAUACUGGCAGACUAGAGUACAGAAGAGGUAACUGGAAUUCCCGGUGUGGCGGUGAAAUGCGUAGAUAUCGGGAGGAACACCUGAGGCGAAGGCGGGUUACUGGGCUGAUACUGACGCUGAUGCGCGAAAGCCAGGGGAGCAAACGGG